ACAAGUGAAAAGAAAUUCAUGGAAUGUGGGUCAUUGACAGUUGGUGUUGUCUGUAUAGAGAACUUGGACCGAUUAACCCCCACCCUUCAGACAUAGGAGAGAGAAGCCUGUAGCUUACAACUGUACCAGCAAUGAAGAUAUACACUGUUGUGUGGGCGUGCCUAAUCUGUUUGGAGGUACACGUGGCAGUGUCAUUUCCUCAAUUAGGUAACUAUGCUUGCUUAGAUAAACAGAUCGGUGAUGAUAACUGUUCGUUCUACAGACGACUGUAUGACGUCACUGAGGCUGAACUCUUCUGUUCCCAUUGGGGUCGUUAUUGCUGUCUAUCCUGCUUGGAGAUGAAAAUGGACAUGGAAAGGAGGCAGAAGUAGCAAAUAUAUUUAGAUCAGAGUGGCGUUAUAACAAAAGAAACGUGCUAUUUUCUUUGAAAGUUUGUUCAAAAUGGACUUAUAUACAGAGAUGUAUAUUUUUUGGUGUCAGUUAAAAAUUUUAUAUUGUGUUCACAUGUGUAUAAAUAAUAAAUAAUAAUGGAAAUAUGUCACGCAGAGCAUUCCAUUGUAUCAUCGGGCUGUACAAAUAGAAGCACCUGCACCAAGAUGUUGGUUGUCAAAUAAAACUUAUUUUAUUAUUUUU